ensembl:lncRNA
GUCAGCAGGAGGGAUCACAGAAUUCCAUUCAGGUCAGCAGGAGGCAUCACAGAAUUCCAUUCAGGUCAGCAGGAGGGAUCACAGAAUUCCAUUCAGGUCAGCAGGAGGGAUCAGCCAAUUAAUUAUACUGCUGCGUGAACAUUCUAACUGUAGGUGGCAGUAAAUCACCAACCUUGUCUCUGUUCCUGUUUAGACUAAACACACUGCAGCACAGUAUGCAGCUACACUUUAGCACAGUAGGUGGUGGUAUGAUCCUAUUCAGUUCAUUUAUGAAGUGUCACUAAACUCAUAGAAGUAAAGAACCCGCAAUGGCUCUGGCCUUGUUGUCACAGAAGUGGC